AUGCUUGCUUCUGGCCAGCACUCCUGCCCGGUGCCUAGCCCACACACCUCAUCUCUUGGGGAGAUAGCAAGCUGGCCUGUAGCUACCCACACCUCCUCCCGGGCAUGGCUUCUCAGCUUUGCUUCAAGCCCAGAACCCAAAGGAGCUCCUCUUACCUUUUGGCCCACAUUCUUCUCCUCCCGCGCAGCUCCUGUGGCAAGCAGGGGCACAGCUCUGGCCAGAGUCCUCCAUUCCUGCAAGGUUGCUUUUUGUCAUUCUUUGCCUUCUGUUGCUGUGCUCUCUUUUGCUGUGCUAUGCCUAGCUUUCCUACUUGCUUGCUCUGUAUUUACAUGCAUUGCUUUUGACUUGUUAUUCUCCUUUGUCCUCUGUUUCAUUAGUUUCCCUUCAACCCUCCCCCUUCCCUCACCCUACCUCCAAUUUUUUCCUUCCUACCCUCUCUCCUCUCCCCCCCCAGCCACCCACACCCCCACUUACUCACCCCCCCUCACCUCUGCCCCCUCUCCACCCCUCCUCCCUCCCCCCUCUCGCCCCCCUCACCCCCCUCUAGCCCCACUGCUCCUCCCCCUCUCCCCCCUCUCCUUCACUUCCCCUCCCCUCCCCUCUCUUUUGCCCCCAUCCACUACCAUUCCCCCUUGCUUUAAGGGAAACUUACCUUUCCUGCUCUUCACUGACUUCUUGAUUCUCGUGGCUUUGGCUGCUAUUUUGCCUUGCUUUCCUUUGCUCUGCUAUGCAUUGCUUUCUCUGUAUUUCUUGCCAUCCACUCCUUCCUUUGAGUUAUUCUUUACUUUUUCACUUGGCUUUUUUCUUCUUUUCUCUUUACCUUUCUUCUCUUGUCAUUAUUCGGUUUUUUGUUUGUUUUUUCUGUUUUCAUCUAUUAGUUUUUUCUUUUCUUUUUUCUUUUUUUCAUAUUUUUCUCUUUUCUCUUUUUUAUUUCUAUUUUCUUCUUUUUUUUUUUUUUUUUUUUUUUUUUUUUUUUUUCUUUCUCUUUUCUUUUUUAUCUUUUUUUUCUUUACUCUUUUUUUUCUUUUUCAUUCAUUUUUUUCUUUUUUUCUUUUCAUUUUUUCUCUUUUUCUUAUUUUUCUUUUCUUUUUUCUCUUUUUUCAUAUUUUUUGUUCUUAUUUUUUCUUUUCUUUUCUUUUUUCAUCAUAGGUUUGCCUUCAGCCCUCCCCUCAGCCCUUCCCUCCGCUCUGCUCUUCACCCAUCCCCUCCCCUCCCCAUCCCCUCUUUUCUCCCUUACCCUCCCCUUUCCCCUUGCCUUUGCCUCCCAGUACCUUGCCUGCCCUUCACUUACCUUCUCCUCACUUCCUGCUCCUUGAUGCUAUGGGCUUUUGCUGCUACUCACGCCAAACCCCAACACUUGCCUACUCUGCGUGCUGCUCUGCCAAGUUGCUCUCUACUCUGCUCACAGCUUCACGCCUACUGCCUGCCCUUCUCUGUCCCCUUCUCGUGCCCUUCACGCUUUUCCUCCCCUUGCUGAGCAAGGCCAUGCCCGGUAGCUACCCUUGAACCUCCUCCGCCCUUUGCCUUCCUCCACAGAGAUGCUUGCUUCUGGCCAGCACUCCUGCCCGGUGCCUAGCCCACACACCUCAUCUCUUGGGGAGAUAGCAAGCUGGCCUGUAGCUACCCACACCUCCUCCCGGGCAUGGCUUCUCAGCUUUGCUUCAAGCCCAGAACCCAAAGGAGCUCCUCUUACCUUUUGGCCCACAUUCUUCUCCUCCCGCGCAGCUCCUGUGGCAAGCAGGGGCACAGCUCUGGCCAGAGUCCUCCAUUCCUGCAAGGUUGCUUUUUUGUCAUUCUUUGCCUUCUGUUGCUGUGCUCUCUUUUGCUGUGCUAUGCCUAGCUUUCCUACUUGCUUGCUCUGUAUUUACAUGCAUUGCUUUUGACUUGUUAUUCUCCUUUGUCCGUCUGUUUCAUUAGUUUCCCUUCAACCCUCCCCCUUCCCUCACCCUACCUCCAAUUUUUUCCUUCCUACCCUCUCUCCUCUCCCCCCCAGCCACCCACACCCCCACUUACUCACCCCCCUCACCUCUGCCCCCUCUCCACCCC
rnacentral:lncRNA from 7 species